rnacentral:rRNA from 1 species
GAAUUAUCCAAUUUUUAAGGUGGUAUGACCAUAAGUUUUUGGUUGGGGUGACCGCGGAGUAUAAUACAACCUCCACGCUGAAAGACACAGCUCUAAGCUAAGACCCACAUUUCUAAGCAUCAGCACACUGACAUAAAUUGACCCAAUACAAUUGAGCAACGAACUAAGUUACCCUAGGGAUAACAGCGCAAUCCACUUCAAGAGCUCCUAUCGACAAGUGGGUUUACGACCUCGAUGUUGGAUCAGGGUAUCCC